AGCACGCUCCCUUAGAUCCACCUCUGGGGGGCGCCGCCCCCAGCAGCUUUGCGGCUGCACAGUCGGAGGUGCUUGAGUCAUUGGCGUGCCACAGCAGUCUACCUGUCCUGCAGCCGCACCCGCGGUACCGGCUGCCCCGCCUCGGCGGGGGGAGCCCCCGGUGCUGCCAGGCUGCAGGACGGACACA
rfam:Oryzias latipes DNA, chromosome23, strain: Hd-rR.